UACGUAGGGGGCGAGCGUUGUCCGGAUUCAUUGGGCGUAAAGAGCUCGUAGGCGGCUUGGCAGUCGGGUGUGAAAACUUCAGGCUCAACCUGGAGAUGCCACUCGAUACUGCUAUGGCUAGAGUCCGGUAGGGGACCACGGAAUUCCUGGUGUAAGCGGUGAAAUGCGCAGAUAUCAGGAGGAACACCGGUGGCGAAGGCGGUGGUCUGGGCCGGCACUGACGCUGGAGGAGCGAAAGCGUGGGGAGCGAACAGG
rnacentral:rRNA from 1 species